rnacentral:tRNA from 1 species
GGACUUAAAACCUGAUGCUAAAGCCGUCAGGUAGCAGUGAAAACUGCGGGAGAAUGAAAAUCCGUUGACCGUAAAAG